CCCGACGACAAGAGUGCUGUGGUCCUACCUGACCCCAUACCGAACUCAGAAGUAAAACGCAGUAACGUCGAUGGUAGUGUGGUGAUUC
rnacentral:rRNA from 1 species